rnacentral:rRNA from 1 species
AUAUCAAUAAGCGGAGGAAAAGAAACCAACUGGGAUCGCCCUAGUAACGGCGAGUGAAGCGGCGACAGCUCAAAUUUGAAAUCUGGCCCUGGGCCCGAGUUGUAAUUUGCAGAGGAUGCUUCGGGCGCGGCGCCUUCCGAGUCUAUUGGAACAUAGCGCCAGAGAGGGUGAGAGCCCCGUACUGUUGGCCGCCAAGCCUGUGUGAAGCUCCUUCGACGAGUCGAGUAGUUUGGGAAUGCUGCUCAAAAUGGGAGGUAGACCCCUUCUAAAGCUAAAUACCGGCCAGAGACCGAUAGCGCACAAGUAGAGUGAUCGAAAGAUGAAAAGCACUUUGAAAAGAGGGUUAAACAGCACGUGAAAUUGUUGAAAGGGAAGCGCUCGUGACCAGACUUGCGCCGGGGCGAUCAUCUGGCGUUCUCGCCGGUGCACUCGCCCCGGCUCAGGCCAGCGUCGGUUCGGGCGGGGGGAUAAAGGCGUUGGGAACGUGGCUCCCCCGGGAGUGUUAUAGCCCAGCGUGCAAUGCCCCCGCCUGGACCGAGGUCGCGCUCCG